rnacentral:rRNA from 1 species
UAUGAGAGUUUGAUCCUGGCUCAGGACGAACGCUGGCGGCGUGCCUAAUACAUGCAAGUCGAACGCUUCUUUUUCCACCGGAGCUUGCUCCACCGGAAAAAGAGGAGUGGCGAACGGGUGAGUAACACGUGGGUAACCUGCCCAUCAGAAGGGGAUAACACUUGGAAACAGGUGCUAAUACCGUAUAACAAUCGAAACCGCAUGGUUUUGAUUUGAAAGGCGCUUUCGGGUGUCGCUGAUGGAUGGACCCGCGGUGCAUUAGCUAGUUGGUGAGGUAACGGCUCACCAAGGCCACGAUGCAUAGCCGACCUGAGAGGGUGAUCGGCCACAUUGGGACUGAGACACGGCCCAAACUCCUACGGGAGGCAGCAGUAGGGAAUCUUCGGCAAUGGACGAAAGUCUGACCGAGCAACGCCGCGUGAGUGAAGAAGGUUUUCGGAUCGUAAAACUCUGUUGUUAGAGAAGAACAAGGAUGAGAGUAACUGUUCAUCCCUUGACGGUAUCUAACCAGAAAGCCACGGCUAACUACGUGCCAGCAGCCGCGGUAAUACGUAGGUGGCAAGCGUUGUCCGGAUUUAUUGGGCGUAAAGCGAGCGCAGGCGGUCCGAGCAACGCCGCGUGAGUGAAGAAGGUUUUCGGAUCGUAAAACUCUGUUGUUAGAGAACUUGAGUGCAGAAGAGGAGAGUGGAAUUCCAUGUGUAGCGGUGAAAUGCGUAGAUAUAUGGAGGAACACCAGUGGCGAAGGCGGCUCUCUGGUCUGUAACUGACGCUGAGGCUCGAAAGCGUGGGGAGCAAACAGGAUUAGAUACCCUGGUAGUCCACGCCGUAAACGAUGAGUGCUAAGUGUUGGAGGGUUUCCGCCCUUCAGUGCUGCAGCUAACGCAUUAAGCACUCCGCCUGGGGAGUACGACCGCAAGGUUGAAACUCAAAGGAAUUGACGGGGGCCCGCACAAGCGGUGGAGCAUGUGGUUUAAUUCGAAGCAACGCGAAGAACCUUACCAGGUCUUGACAUCCUUUGACCACUCUAGAGAUAGAGCUUCCCCUUCGGGGGCAAAGUGACAGGUGGUGCAUGGUUGUCGUCAGCUCGUGUCGUGAGAUGUUGGGUUAAGUCCCGCAACGAGCGCAACCCUUAUUGUUAGUUGCCAUCAUUCAGUUGGGCACUCUAGCAAGACUGCCGGUGACAAACCGGAGGAAGGUGGGGAUGACGUCAAAUCAUCAUGCCCCUUAUGACCUGGGCUACACACGUGCUACAAUGGGAAGUACAACGAGUUGCGAAGUCGCGAGGCUAAGCUAAUCUCUUAAAGCUUCUCUCAGUUCGGAUUGCAGGCUGCAACUCGCCUGCAUGAAGCCGGAAUCGCUAGUAAUCGCGGAUCAGCACGCCGCGGUGAAUACGUUCCCGGGCCUUGUACACACCGCCCGUCACACCACGAGAGUUUGUAACACCCGAAGUCGGAUGGGAAGUACAACGAGUUGCGAAGUCGCAGGUGGGAUAGAUGAUUGGGGUGAAGUCGUAACAAGGUAGCCGUAUCGGAAGGUGCGGCUGGAUCACCUCCUUU